GACGAACGCUGGCGGCGUGCUUAGCACAUGCAAGUCGAACGGAAAGGCUCCAGCUUGCUGGAGUACUCGAGUGGCGAACGGGUGAGUAACACGUGGGUAAUCUGCCCUGCACUCUGGGAUAAGCCUGGGAAACUGGGUCUAAUACUGGAUAUGACCUUUCUCCUUAUGGGGUUUGGUGGAAAGUUUUUCGGUGUAGGAUGAGCCCGCGGCCUAUCAGCUUGUUGGUGGGGUGAUGGCUUACCAAGGCGACGACGGGUAGCCGGCCUGAGAGGGUGAUCGGCCACAUUGGGACUGAGAUACGGCCCAGACUCCUACGGGAGGCAGCAGUGGGGAAUAUUGCACAAUGGGCGGAAGCCUGAUGCAGCGACGCCGCGUGAGGGAUGACGGCCUUCGGGUUGUAAACCUCUUUCAGCAGGGACGAAGCGUAAGUGACGGUACCUGCAGAAGAAGCACCGGCUAACUAUGUG
rnacentral:rRNA from 1 species